UGUUUUGAGUCUAUUUCUUUUAGUAUUUUAGUUUCCUAGUUAGUUUAAGGUGCCUAAUUAGUUAAGGAUGGGGUUAGGCCUUUCCUUUUUAGUGUAAGAGUCUGUUUUCGAGUCUUCUAUAUAAGUUUGCAAGGGGAUCUAACAUUGUACACGAAUUUUGAUGAAUG